UACGGAGGGUGCGAGCGUUGUCCGGAAUUAUUGGGCGUAAAGCGCGCGCAGGCGGUCCUUUAAGUCUGAUGUGAAAGCCCACGGCUCAACCGUGGAGGGUCAUUGGAAACUGGGGGACUUGAGUACAGAAGAGAAGAGUGGAAUUCCACGUGUAGCGGUGAAAUGCGUAGAGAUGUGGAGGAACACCAGUGGCGAAGGCGACUCUUUGGUCUGUAACUGACGCUGAGGCGCGAAAGCGUGGGGAGCAAACAGG
rnacentral:rRNA from 1 species